rnacentral:rRNA from 1 species
GAUUCUCGGCUCGUGAGUCGAUGAAGAACGCAGCGAAAUGCGAUAAGUAAUGUGAAUUGCAGAAUUCAGUGAAUCAUCGAAUCUUUGAACGCACCUUGCACUCCUUGGUAUUCCGAGGAGCAUGCCUGUUUGAGUGUC